UACGUAGGGUGCGAGCGUUGUCCGGAAUUAUUGGGCGUAAAGAGCUCGUAGGCGGUCUGUCGCGUCGAUCGUGAAAACUUGGGGCUUAACCCUGAGCUUGCGGUCGAUACGGGCAUGACUGGAGUUCGGCAGGGGAGACUGGAAUUCCUGGUGUAGCGGUGAAAUGCGCAGAUAUCAGGAGGAACACCAAUGGCGAAGGCAGCACUCUGGGACGUGACUGACGCUGAGACGCGAAAGCGUGGGGAGCGAACAGG
rnacentral:rRNA from 1 species